rnacentral:rRNA from 1 species
UACUAUGCCCAGCAGUAACACAACAAUUAAAUAACGCAUUGUUCGCCAAAUAACUACGAGUAAAAACUUAAAAUUUAAAAGACUUGACGGUAUCUCACAACAACCUAGAGGAGCCUGUCUAAUAACCGAUACCCCACGAUAAACCUAACCCAGGCUAGCCCAACAGUCUAUAUACCGCCGUCGCCAGCCCACCUUGUGAAAGUAACAGAGUGGGCCUAAAAGCCACAACACUAACACGACAGGUCGAGGUGUAACUUAUGCCUGGGUAAAAGAUGGGCUACAUUUUCUACCACAGAAUAAACGAAUAGACUUUGAAACAAGAAACUGAAGGCGGAUUUAGAAGUAAGCUGAGAACAAAUAUACUCAACCGAAAUCAAUGCAAUGAGAUGCGUACACACCGCCCGUCAUCCCUGACAACCAAUAAACCACAAAAAUAUUAAAACAAAUAGCACUAAACA